rnacentral:rRNA from 1 species
GACGAACGCUGGCGGCGUGCCUAAUACAUGCAAGUUGAGCGAUGAAGAUUGGUGCUUGCCCCAAUUUGAAGAGCAGCGAACGGGUGAGUAACGCGUGGGGAAUCUGCCUUUGAGCGGGGGACAACAUUUGGAAACGAAUGCUAAUACCGCAUAACAACUUUAAACAUAAGUUUUAAGUUUGAAAGAUGCAAUUGCAUCACUCAAAGAUGAUCCCGCGUUGUAUUAGCUAGUUGGUGAGGUAAAGGCUCACCAAGGCGAUGAUACAUAGCCGACCUGAGAGGGUGAGCGGCCACAUUGGGACUGAGACACGGCCCAAACUCCUACAGGAGGCAGCAGUAGGGGAACUUCGGCGAUGGACGAAAGUCUGACCGAGCAACGCCGCGUGAGUGAAGAAGGUUUUCGGAUCGUAAAACUCUGUUGGUAGAGAAGAACGUUAGUGAGAGUGGAAAGCUCAUCAAGUGACGGUAACUACACAGAAAGGGACGGCUAACUACGUG